UCCGAGCGACGAGCACAGCGGCUCAUACC
rnacentral:piRNA from 1 species